rnacentral:rRNA from 1 species
GAUGAACGCUAGCGGCAGGCUUAAUACAUGCAAGUCGAGGGGCAGCACGAAUAGCAAUAUUUGGUGGCGACCGGCGCACGGGUGCGUAACACGUAUACAACCUACCUAUAACAGGGGGAUAGCCUUUCGAAAGAGAGAUUAAUACCCCCGUAAUAAAUUGAGUGGCAUCACUUGAUUUUGAAAGCUACGGCGGUUAUAGAUGGGUAUGCGUCUGAUUAGCUAGUUGGUGAGGUAGCGGCUCACCAAGGCGACGAUCAGUAGGGGAUCUGAGAGGACUAACCCCCANACUGGUACUGAGACACGGACCAGACUCCUACGGGAGGCAGCAGUAAGGAUAUUAGUCAAUGGAGCAACUCUGAACCAGCCAUGCCGCGUGCAGGAUGACGGCCCUAUGGGUUGUAAACUGCUUUUGUACCAGAGAAAACCUACUCACGUGUGAGUAGCUGAUAGUAUGGUAAGAAUAAGCAUCGGCUAACUUCGUGCCAG